rnacentral:tRNA from 1 species
GCCUGGGUGGCUCAGUUGGUUAAGUGUCUGACUUCGGCUCAGGUCAUAAUCUCACGGUUCGUGGGUUCGAGCCCCACAUCAGGCU